CACCCUUGGUAAGGGUG
rnacentral:ncRNA from 2 species